CAUUUUCCAAAUUAUUUGUGGUGUCAACAUUAUUUUCAAGUCUUAUCUCUUUAUUUUGAAGUUGAAAUGAAGUAUUUAGAUCUAUUUAUCCAUUUCUUAUCCUUGCAGGGAGGAAGCUAAAGAAAUACAAUCACGUUUAAAGAAAAGGAGAAAAAUGCCUCCUUCUAAUGAUGUUUUCGAUGAUGAUAAUAUUAGAAGCCAAACUGUUGUUUCCUAUAGAGAACUGGAAGCAAGGAGGAAUAGAGUGAGUCAGUUGGAGAAACUCUAUAUGGAUAUGGCAUUGCAGAAGGAACUACAGAAAAAGGGCCGGAAGCGCAAAUUACGUGAGGAUGAGCUUGCUUGUCCGACUUCUAAACCAAUAUACAAGUGGCGGUCAGAACGGAAGCCUUGAAAAGGUGUUUGGUGGGGUUUUUAUAAGGACGCUUCGUAUUUAAAAGAGCAGAAGGCACCAGCAUUUUGUUUGUCAGAUUGGAGGCGUUUCAGUUUUUCCAAGGGUAUAUAUGUCAAAUUUUUAUGGACGGUUACAUUGUGAUAUUUUUUUAUUGUUUGAGGGGAUAAUUGCCAAAAUUGAUAGCUAAUGGGUGAUUACAAAUUGGUUGGUAGUUUGAGGAUGUUAUUUAUAUUUAUCCAUAUUUUAUUUAUUUGAUUUUGA